GAUGAAGAACGCAGCGAAAUGCGAUAAGUAGUGUGAAUUGCAGAAUUCAGUGAAUCAUCGAAUCUUUGAACGCACAUUGCGCCCCUUGGUAUUCCAUGGGGCAUGCCUGUUCGAGCGUCAUUUGUACCUUCAAGCUUUGCUUGGUGUUGGGUGUUUGUCCUGAGGGACUCGCCUUAAAGUAAUUGGCAGCCAGUGUUUGGUUUUGAAGCGCAGCACAAGUCGCGAUUCAAAGAUAUACGCCCGCUUCCACAAGCCUUUUUCACUUUUGACCUCGGAUCAGGUAGGGAUACCCGCUGAACUUAAGCAUAUCAAUAAGCGGAGGA
rnacentral:misc_RNA from 1 species